rnacentral:rRNA from 1 species
GACGAACGCUGGCGGCGUGCCUAAUACAUGCAAGUAGAACGCUGAAGGAGGAGCUUGCUUCUCUGGAUGAGUUGCGAACGGGUGAGUAACGCGUAGGUAACCUGCCUGGUAGCGGGGGAUAACUAUUGGAAACGAUAGCUAAUACCGCAUAAGAGUAGAUGGUGCAUGACAUUUGCUUAAAAGGUGCAAUUGCAUCACUACCAGAUGGACCUGCGUUUUAUUAGCUAGUUGGUGGGGUAACGGCUCACCAAGGCGACGGUACAUAGCCGACCUGGGUGGGUGUCCAGAGACCCUGGGACUGUCUCUCGGCCCAGUCUCCUUCCGGGGGCAGCAGACGAGGAUCUUUCGCGAUGGACGGAAGUUUCAGCGUGCAACGCCGAGUGAGUGACGAAAGUUUUCGGAUCGUAGAGCUCUGUUGUAAGAGAAGAUCGAGUGUGAGAGUGGAAAGUACACACUGUGACGGUAUCUUAACAGAACGGUACGGCUAACUACGUG